GGUGGUGUCUUCCAUUUUGGGGUUUUAGUUAACCCCACACGUAGCUGACAUCAAAGAACCAACACCAUGGUUUCUGUCCGAGUUCUGGAACUGCUUUGUUUGGGGCUUUGCAGCUCCUUUUAGCACCCAUGGCUCUGCCUCCUGCCUCCCCUCUUACAGGGAGUUUUCUUCCCACGGGUGGAGAAGCACGUGAAGAUCUUCUGGAUGCGGCGCCGUUGCCCAAGAAUGUGAUGCUUCUCUUUCAUCUUCAACAGGUGCACAACCAUUCGAUCCCUGGGAACUGAAGUUGCAGAUGGUUGACAGCCGCCACGUGCUGAUGGAACUCACCCUGGAUCCUCUGCAACAGGAAUACGUGCUCUCAGCUCUGAGCCAUCUCUCCAGUCACUAUUGGAAGGUUCACAUCAGGAAACCACACAGCUGAUCACAGCCUGCUGCUGAGCACAUGAGAGAAACUAGAGGCGCGGGAAGAGACACUGUCAGUGCAGAGCUCAGGAGGGAGGGGAGCUGGGCACUGAUGGGGAGAGGCCUGAGGGACAGACACAGAGAGGGGCUGAGCAAGAGGAGACAGAGGCAAAGGGGGAGACCUAACUCCGCAGAGUCCCCUGUUGGAGGGUAUCUCUGUCAGACUGCACUGGACACACCUGCAGAACCCUGCUGGCCUCUUCCAUUUCAUAGUGAACGCUGUGCUGGUUUGAAUGAAAACAGCCACACAGGCUCAUAGGAAUGAAUCCUUCAAAUCCAGCUCAUGGAGCUGUUCAGGAAGGACUGGGAGGUGUGGCCUUGUUGCCACUGGGUUGGGCACUGAGGUUUUAACAGACUUUCUCUAUUCCCAGUGUCUCAGCCUUUGCUUGCAAAUCAAGUCCUGAGCUCUCAGCUGUUCCUCCACCACACCUUCCCUCUGCCAUCAUGCACUCAAACCCUCUGAACCUAGAGAAGAGAUUAAACACAUUC